ACUAGCAACUAUUGAUGGAUCAGUAAUAUUAUGUUGGUUUUCGCCAUUGAUUAAGGCGUUGUCAGUUUGAACAUCUGAUAGACUGAUACCUUCAUUCAUUUAUCUUCCUUCUUUGAAGGGGAGGGCUUUGUCCUUUCCCUUCUUUUCUGCCCUUCGAUUAACUUGUGUAUGUAAUGAAAUUUUUGAGUGCUCAUUGGUAUAGUUCUCCUCUGGAUGCUCCAAGGAGCUUGUAUGGUAACAUAUUUUUGGUAGAAAUGAAGUUUGUGGAGUUUGGAUUUUCUGUAACUGGAAGUAUUUUCUGUUGAGUAAACUCCAACGAUUUCAUAACUAUUUUUU
rnacentral:misc_RNA from 1 species